rnacentral:rRNA from 1 species
CCUACGGGACGCUGCAGUGAGGAAUAUUGGUCAAUGGGCGCAAGCCUGAACCAGCCAAGUCGCGUGAGGGAUGACGGUCCUAUGGAUUGUAAACCUCUUUUGUCGGGGAGCAAGGCCCGCCACGUGUGGCGGGAAGGAGAGUACCCGAAGAAAAAGCAUCGGCUAACUCCGUGCCAGCAGCCGCGGUAAUACGGAGGAUGCGAGCGUUAUCCGGAUUUAUUGGGUUUAAAGGGUGCGUAGGCGGAAGGUUAAGUCAGCGGUAAAAUGUCGGUGCUCAACACCGGCCUGCCGUUGAAACUGGUCUUCUUGAGUGAGCGAGAAGUAUGCGGAAUGCGUGGUGUAGCGGUGAAAUGCAUAGAUAUCACGCAGAACUCCGAUUGCGAAGGCAGCAUACCGGCGCUCAACUGACGCUGAGGCACGAAAGCGUGGGGAUCGAACAGGAUUAGAUACCCGAGUAGUC